GAGCUCGACCGAGUGAUAUGAGGCCUGUGGUGAGGAGUGAAGCCUGAGCUAGAUUGCCCCUCCCGUCGACCGAGUGAUAUGAGGCCUGUGGUGAGGAGUGAAGCCUGAGCUAGAUUGCCCCUCCCGUCGACCGAGUGAUAUGAGGCCUGUGGUGAGGAGUGAAGCCUGAGCUAGAUUACCCCUCCCAUCGAGUAUGCCAAGAUGGCGCCCAUUUCCUGCUCCCUAGCUAGUAAACAACACGCCCUGUAAGCUAGUCUGCCCAGCAACAGCUGACGCUGGCCAAUCAGCUCGUCUUGCCUACUUUGAUGUGAUUGGUCGAUGUGUCCAUAUAUAUGCUGACACCACCCCUGGGGCGAGAACACACACACCAAGAAGAGGGACUGCUGAGAGAAGCACACAAGGAGCCGUAGGGAACGGACCAGAGGAGGCUUCCCUCAGGCGGGAUCCGAGAUCCCGGAACAGGGCGUACGGAGAGAGAAAAUAAAUCAGAGGCUAUCCGCCGACUACUCGUGUCGUGUGUUUUUUCCUGCCGGCCGGGAUCGACACCGACAUUUGGUGGCCCGUACGGGGAACUGAUCACCCCCGAGGCGAGGCGGACGACGCUCCAGUAUUGCUCUGCAGGACAGGAACCAGGACGAGAACCAUUGUGGGUCCCAGAACGGCUGACGCGUGUGGCGAAUCCAACGAAACAUAAUGCAGGAGACACUCCAAAA